UACGAAGGGGACUAGCGUUGUUCGGAAUCACUGGGCGUAAAGCGCACGUAGGCGGAUGUGUCAGUCAGGGGUGAAAUCCCGGGGCUCAACCUCGGAACUGCCUUUGAUACAGCACGUCUCGAGUCCGGAAGAGGUGGGUGGAAUUCCUAGUGUAGAGGUGAAAUUCGUAGAUAUUAGGAAGAACACCGAUGGCGAAGGCAGCUCGCUGGGACGGUACUGACGCUGAGGCGCGAAAGCGUGGGGAGCAAACAGG
rnacentral:rRNA from 1 species